GGAUCCGUAGUUUAGUGGUAGAAUUUCUGCCUCCAGAGCAGAAGAUGUGGGUUCGAUUCCCUCCGGGUCCA
rnacentral:tRNA from 1 species